AAUUCUGUGCUUCAUUUUGUUCUCAUCCCUCCUUUACAGGUAACUGUUGUCAAUCCUGCCAUGGACAGAGUACUGUCACUCUUGCAAAAGUUCGCUCUUGAUGCUCAAAAGGGUAAAAUUCCGAAAGAUAAAUUACGAUUUGGUGCCCCAUGGAGGCACCCGCCAAAUAAGGACGACCCUUGCCUGCGUUCAGAAUGGGCUAAGCUUCAACUAAUGGAUUUCAUCCAAUCUUUAGUCAAUGCAGAGUUUGGGAUUAAUUAUUUUUCUGAUUGUAGUCUUGAGAUCUUUGAUGAUCCUUCUGUUAACGCAAUGAUUGAGGUUGGUUUACUCUACGUCCAACGUGAUCCAUCCUUCUUUCGCCCAAUAUCUGGUGCUAUUCAGAGAUGUCUUGUGAGAUGGCUUGUCCAGGAGAGAAUUCAAAUGAGCUUUAAAAAUUCACUCCUAUUUCAGUGGCACCGAGUUGUAAGGGGACGUAGCUAUCGUCAUCUCUUGUUGCAAGUAGGCAACAAAUAGAGUUCAAGUCUGGUUUCAGUUUAUGCAGAUCAAUGCUGAUUCUCUUGGUGGUGGUGCUUCCUCUCGAGCCUCAAGUUCUAAGUUCUAACAUAUUCCAUGAACAGAUGCUUUCAGAAGCUUCACCGUUGACCUCAGGAUAAGAACUCAAAUGAUGUAAGACACCAUCCUCCAUAUGAAGUUUCCCCCCGUAUGUGUGUGUAUGUAUAAAUGUGUGUGUGUGUAUAUAUAUAUAUAUAUAUAUUCAAAUGAACUCUGUAAAUAGUUUGAGAACCUGA